UGUGAAACCUAAAACCUAAAAAUUUUUGUUAAGUCAAAAAUCUAUCUCACAGCCGCCGAAGCUUUCUUCCUUCUCUCUCCUUCCCUCUCUCUCGCUCUCUUUCUCUCUCUAACAAUGAUCUACCUUGAAAGCCGCCUCUGUCAACACCUUGAAACCCGUCGUCCUUAAGCUAAAAUAUCCCUGAAAAGAACCCAGAAAGUGCUGUGAAGAAUUUGGGCAAAGCUAAGGUUUGAAAGUCCGAAUCAGUGUUGUGGUAACUCUUUGUCUCAUUCUCUAUUCUCAUUGUUUAAGUAUUUAUCUAUUAAUUGAUUGAUGUUUAUUGAGUGCAAAUGAGAACUUGCACUUGUUUAGAAAUCUAGCCAUCUAGGGUUUUUGUUGCUUAUAAUCUAAUUUAUUGUUUAAUAAAAUAAAUAAAACGCAACUUUAUUAUGAGUGGAAUUCAAUUUAUUAAGUGAAAGAGUGAUUACAAUAGGUGAUUAUGGAUUUAGGUUGAAUGCAAUUUGUUAAUUAAAAGAAUAAUGGCAAUCAACAAUCAUGGGUUUAGUAUGUAUUAUAUAUUUCGUUUAAUGGUGUGUAUGAAAACCCAAACCUAAAAUUUUCUUAAGUAUAAAUCUCCAUUCUCCCUCACGACCUAUAAGCCCAUCUCUCUCUCUCUCUCUCUCUCUCUCUCCCCUCUUUCUAGCUAACAACCCAAAAAUUAUUAUGAAACCGCCGUAUCAAUCUUUCAAAGCUCAUUAGUUAGCUGGUUAUUGUGAAAAGUAAGGUUAUUGUUUGCUUUUAUGUCUAAUUUUACUUUAAACAUGGGGAUUGAUGAUAUUCGAGUUGUUGGACACUUGAUUUUGAGGUGAAAGAUUAAUUAAUAGUUUACGAAAUUAUGCUGAAAAUUUGAGGAUUGAUAGACUGUUGUUGUGAACUGGGUUGUUUCCAAACUUGACUAAAUGACUUUUAAUUGAUUUGAAAGUUUGAUUAAACUAAGUUUAAAUGAGAACAUUUUAAUUCUGGAAAUUUUGGAAUGAAUUGGGUUUAUAUUUGAUUUUGAAUGGAUUUCUCAAUAUAGUUGGUUGUUGUCCAAUUUUAUUAGAAAUUACAUAUGUACCAUGUUUGAUAUUGCAAACGUAUAGUCUAACAGAGUUAGAAUAAGCUGAAAUUCGGAUAAACUACACUUUUAUUUGCAUACAUCUAAUCUGGAAAAUUUUAUUUUGAUUGAACUUGUAAUUUAUUUUUAAUGAUUUUUCAAAAUCUGUUGUCUCUGCAGUAACUUCUUUUGACAGAAUUGUUCAUUAAUCUUUGAUCCUAUCAAACACCAGCCUAAUGAUAUCGGAAUAGCCUCAAAUUUUAAUAUGUUGUUGACUUAUAUGUCCACUUAAAAUCUGGAAAGUAUCAUUCUGAUAUAUUUAGUAUUUUAAACUUAAUAUAUAUUCAAACACCUAUCAAACACCAGCCUAAUGAUAUCGGAAUAGCCUCAAAUUUUAAUAUGUUGUUGACUUAUAUGUCCACUUAAAAUCUGGAAAGUAUCAUUCUGAUAUAUUUAGUAUUUUAAAUUUAAUAUAUAUUCAAACACCUGCUGGUACUUUUACAGUUUCAUAUGCAAUUUUGACAGAACUGUUCAUUAAUAUUUAAUCCUAUCAAACACCAGCCUAAUGAUAUCAGAAUAGCCUCAAAUUUUAAUAUGUUGUUGACUUAUAUGCCCACUUAAAAUCUGGAAAGUAUCAUUCUGAUAUAUUUAGUAUUUUAAAUUUAAUAUAUAUUCAAACACCUGCUGCUACUUUUACAGUUUCAUAUGCAAUUUUGACAGAACUGUUCAUUAAUCUUUGAUCCUAUCAAACACUAGCCUAAUGAUAUCGGAAUAGCCUCAAAUUUUAAUAUGUUGUUGACUUAUAUGUCCACUUAAAAUCUAGAAAGUAUCAUUCUGAUAUAUUUAGUAUUUUAAAUUUAAUAUAUAUUCAAACACCUGCUGCUACUUUUACAGUUUCAUAUGCAAUUUUGACAGAACUGUUCAUUAAUCUUUGAUCCUAUCAAACACUAGCCUAAUGAUAUCGGAAUAGCCUCAAAUUUUAAUAUGUUGUUGACUUAUAUGUCCGCUUAAAAUCUGGAAAGUAUCAUUCUGAUAUAUUUAGUAUUUUAAAUUUAAUAUAUAUUCAAACACGUGCUGCUACUUUUAUAGUUUCAUAUGCAAUUUUAACUUAUAUAGUUUUAUCAUGUGAGAAGCAAAUGUAGAGUUGUCCAAAUGACUUGGAAAUUUGAUUUGUGGUGCAUUGACAUGUCUAAUUAUGUUUUGUAAGUUUCAUAGCAUUCCAAAUUAAAUUAAAGAAAAUCUUAAAUUCAAGCUGUCAAUGUUUCCUAUUAAAUCUUAUUAGUGAUAAAUCUACUAACUUGCAGUAAUUUUCAGGGAAAAAAAUGUGUCAACACUGUGAAUUACAAUGGGAG
rnacentral:lncRNA from 1 species